rnacentral:rRNA from 1 species
CCCUUAGAUGUUCUGGGCCGCACGCGCGCUACACUGACGAAUGCAACGAGCUUAUAACCUUGGCCGAAAGGUCUGGGUAAUCUCCAAAUUUCGUCGUGAUGGGGAUAGAUUAUUGCAAUUAUUAAUCUUCAACGAGGAAUGCCUAGUAAGCGCAAGUCAUCAGCUGGCGUUGAUUACGUCCCUGCCCUUUGUACACACCGCCCGUCGCUCCUACCGAUUGAAUGGUCCGGUGAAGCGUUCGGACCGUGGCCUUUGGACGGUUCGCCGUCUGUUGGCUGCGGGAAGUUCGUUAAACCUUAUCAUUUAGAGGAAGGAGAAGUCGUAACA